GAUGAACGCUGGCGGCGUGCCUAACACAUGCAAGUCGAGCGAAGCGCUUAAAUUAGAUUUCUUCGGAAUGACGAUUUUUGUGACUGAGCGGCGGACGGGUGAGUAACGCGUGGGUAACCUGCCUCAUACAGGGGGAUAACAGUUAGAAAUGACUGCUAAUACCGCAUAAGACCCCAGCUUCGCAUGAAGCGGUGGUAAAAACUCCGGUGGUAUGAGAUGGACCCGCGUCUGAUUAGCUAGUUGGUAAGGUAACGGCUUACCAAGGCGACGAUCAGUAGCCGACCUGAGAGGGUGACCGGCCACAUUGGGACUGAGACACGGCCCAGACUCCUACGGGAGGCAGCAGUGGGGAAUAUUGCACAAUGGGGGAAACACUGAUGCAGCGACGCCGCGUGAAGGAUGAAGUAUUUCGGUAUGUAAACUUCUAUCAGCAGGGAAGAAAGUGACGGUACCUGACUAAGAAGCCCCGGCUAACUACGUG
rnacentral:rRNA from 1 species